rnacentral:rRNA from 1 species
UACGGGGGGGGCAAGCGUUGUUCGGAAUUAUUGGGCGUAAAGGGCUCGUAGGUGGCCAACUAAGUCAGCCGUGAAAUCCCUCGGCUUAACCGGGGAACUGCGUCUGAUACUGGAUGGCUUGAGUUCGGGAGAGGGAUGCGGAAUUCCAGGUGUAGCGGUGAAAUGCGUAGAUAUCAGGAGGAACACCUGUGGUGUAGACAGCUUACUGGACCAUUUCUGACGCUGAGACACGAAAGCGUGGGUAGCAAACAGG